rnacentral:rRNA from 1 species
CCUACGGGGGGCAGCAGUAGGGAAUCUUCCGCAAUGGACGAAAGUCUGACGGAGCAACGCCGCGUGAGCGAAGAAGGUCUUCGGAUCGUAAAGCUCUGUUGUUAGGGAAGAACAAGUACGGGAGGAAAUGACCGUACCUUGACGGUACCUGACGAGGAAGCCACGGCUAACUAAGUGCCAGCAGCCGCGGUAAUACGUAGGUGGCAAGCGUUGUCCGGCAUUAUUGGGCGUAAAGCGCGCGCAGGCGGUCUUUUAAGUCUGAUGUGAAAUCUGGCGGCUCAACCGCAAGCGGUCAUUGGAAACGGGGAGACUUGUGUGCAGAAGGGGACAGCGUAAUUCCACGUGUAGCUGUGAAAUGCGUAGAGAUGUGGAGGAACACCAGUGGCGAAGGCGGCUUUCUGGUCUGUAACUGACGCUGAGGCGCGAAAGCGUGGGGAGCAAACAGGAGUAGAUCCCCCAGUAGUC